rnacentral:rRNA from 1 species
GCGUCCUAUCAGCUAGUUGGUGGGGUAACGGCCUACCAAGGCUUUGACGGGUAGCUGGUCUGAGAGGAUGGUCAGCCGCACUGGGACUGAGACACUGCCAGACUCCUACGGGAGGCUGCAGUCGAGGAUCUUUUGCAAUGGGCGCAAGCCUGACAAAGCGACGCUGCGUGGAGGAUGAAGGCCUUCGGGUUGUAAACUCCUGUCAUUCGGGAACAAUAACGCGAUGGUGAAUAGCCUUCGCGAAUGAUGGUACCGGAAGAGGAAGCCACGGCUAACUCUGUGCCAGCAGCCGCGGUAAUACAGAGGUGGCGAGCGUUGUUCGGAUUUACUGGGCGUAAAGGGUGCGUAGGUGGUUUCGUGUGUCGGGUGUGAAAUCCCACGGCUUAACUGUGGAACUGCGCCCGAAACUGCGGAGCUAGAGUGCAGGAGAGGAGAGCGGAAUUCUUGGUGUAGCGGUGAAAUGCGUUGAUAUCAAGAGGAACACCGGUGGCGAAGGCGGCUCUCUAGAAUGCAACUGACACUGAGGCACGAAAGCUGGGGGAGCAAACAGGAUUAGAUACCCUGGUAGUCCCAGCCUUAAACGGUGUACACUUGGUGUGGGAGGAAUUGACCCCCCCCGUGCCGGAGCUAACGCGUUAAGUGUACCGCCUGGGGAGUACGGCCGCAAGGCUAAAACUCAAAGAAAUUGACGGGGGCCCGCACAAGCGGAGGAGCAUGUGGCUUAAUUCUAUGCAACGCGAAGAACCUUACCUGGGCUUGACAUGCAGCUGCAGGCCGGAUGAAAGUUUGGCGGCCUUCGAGGGUGCUGCACAGGUGCUGCAUGGCUGUCGUCAGUUCGUGCCGUGAGGUGUUUGGUUAAGUCCAGCAACGAACGCAACCCUUGUGUUUAGUUGCCACCCCCGAUGAUGAGUCGGGGAGCACUCUAGACAGACUGCCCGUGUAAGCGGGAGGAAGGUGGGGAUGACGUCAAGUCAGUAUGGCCCUUACGCCCAGGGCUGCACACGUGCUACAAUCGGAGGUACAGAGGGCUGCUAAACCGCGAGGUGGUGCUAAUCCCUUAAAACCUCCGCCAGUUCAGAUUGGAGUCUGCAACUCGACUCCAUGAAGUCGGAUUCGCUAGUAAUGGCGCAUCAGCUACGGCGCCGUGAAUACGUUCCCGGGCCUUGUACACACCGCCCGUCACAUCAUGAAAGCCGUCUGCACCCGAAGUCACUGUUCUAACCU